AUGGGAGAUAAUCAAGAUCUUGCAUCAGUACUCAGGAUAGCUUCAUGGACUUUUCCCAGUGAUUUAGAGCAUCCUGUGUCAGGAGUGUUUGGUGUGCUAGGGAACCAGGCUGCCAAGAUUCAAACCUCGGCUGUACACCGUGCAAGAGAUGUGCCCUUUAUCAAGGUACCUGUAUUAGUUACCUCACCUGCAGAGUGGAGAAAUAAUGCCCUCUCCUCACAGUAGUUGUUGGGAAAUCUAUACAUAUAAAAGUAUAUACAUGCCACGUGGCAUUCAAAAAUGUAACAAACUGAAUAAAGCAUUCAUUAAGGCCA
rnacentral:lncRNA from 1 species